AUUGAACGCUGGCGGCAUGCCUUACACAUGCAAGUCGAACGGCAGCACGGGGGGUGACUCCUGGUGGCGAGUGGCGAACGGGUGAGUAGGGCAUCGGAACGUGUCCUGUUGAGGGGGAUAACCUAGCGAAAGUUAGGCUAAUACCGCAUACGUCCUGAGGGAGAAAGCGGGGGCUCGCAAGACCUCGCGCGAUGGGAGCGGCCGAUGUUGGAUUAGCUGGUUGGUGGGGUAACGGCCCACCAAGGCGACGAUCCAUAGCGGGUUUGAGAGAACGGCC
rnacentral:rRNA from 1 species